UGCCAUGGCCCCGCCCACUCUGCAGGUGUGCUUUGCUAACUUUGCUGUGAUAUUACUAAACACUCGCUGCUUAUGUUUAAAUAAUGUCAGCAGUUUUAACUCAAACUAGCCUGCCAGCAGUCUGAUUGCAGCACGGUUUUGUUUAGAAUAUAAUAGUGUUUCUACUCAUCACUAGCUAGCUUACUCUGCUCUUUCUGCUGCCAAGUCUUCUCUAAGGAUUUAACAAGCUACUUUCUGCUAAAGUGUGGAGGAUCUUUGUUUUACUGUCCACCAAGUAAAACCAUCAGUUCCUAAUCAAAAGGACUGUUUGUGCCCACUGGAAGUAUGGACAGCUUCGUCACCACAGAACAACAACAUCUGGACAAAGUGACCACCAACCCGUCUACUGUCAGACGCGCUGACAUCGAGCUGACAAAUCCUCAGGGGAGGAGGAGUGAUUCAGUGGUUGUUCACACAUCCAGGCAUGCAGAGCUCAAAAAGCAGGUUGUGAGGGUGACGCGAUGGACGGGACUUCACUGACACCAAAGCCGCGUCUAACACCUGAUAAGGAGCUUGAGCGCGGCACAGACAUUGGCGGGCGGGGAGUCAAAGAUACUCUGCGACGGCACAUUUGAGAUGAGGGCUGAGAGUGCUGAGAGAAGGAGUCAAUGCAGAGAUGAGCUCCACCACUGCAGCAAAGAGGGUCAGUAAGUUUACAGCCAGAGGAGGGAGGGAAGGAUUUCCACUACACACACACACACACACACACACACACACGCACACGCACACACACACACACACAAAGGUGGCAGGAAAGAAGGUUUCUCUCUCAUGGGGAGUUGGUUUAUUUUUAAACUGUGACCUGGGAUACCGUUUUAGAAUAUGAUAAUAUCUGUGAUUUGGGAUGCAGUGAAGACAUGCGUUGUUAUCUCUUCUUGAUAAAUACAAGCUUUUGGAUUCUCACAUGCAGAUGGAAAAAAAAACGUACAGUAAAGUAAGUAAUAUCUUUGCAUUUUGUGGAAUUGUACGCAUUCACACAACAGUCCAUGACACAAAACUACAAGACCACCCUAGAUGGUUUUAAAGAGAUAACAGUGGGAAGGAGCUGAUGAAGGUGUGAUGUAAUUGUUUGAUUUAAACAGAUGCAAACAGUCAUUAUAUUUGGUAUCUUAGGAGUAAAAAUAGUUUUCAUCAUAUGGCUGCUAUUGCCUGUUGAUUGAGCAGUUUUUAAAAUAAAAUGUAGACGUUGUGCUUCAUUCACCCUAUCAGACUUGCUACCUUUAUGUCGGGUUCAGGCCACAACAUAUUUUUGGUCACAUCAUAAUUUCUUCAUAAAUUCUGUGUUCAUUUGCACAACACUCCCAUCGUAUCCCUCAGCAUUACUGGCAGGCAGCUUGUUUGUGAUUACUACUCAGGAAGCGGAGCAGUUCGUUCAUUCAUCACAGGGUUGGCCAGUUAAUUGUUGGCACCCAGUGAUGGCAUCUAAUGAGGUACGUUUACACGAGUGCGGCACUGCACGAUGCAGUUUUGAGGUAUUUGCAUAUACUUCUACUCCGGUACAUUUUGCAGGCAGAAUACACUGUGGUAUUAGUACUGUUUACUGUUACUUCAGUAAAAGCUCUGAAUACACUGAAGUAUCAUGAAGCCAGACGAUGCACACCAUGCGCACUGAUUCUUGAAUCACAACCUUGCCUUGACUGACUGACUGACAGACAGACAGACAGACAUGACACUGAUGUGAGGAUGCAGGGCGCUGUCAGCAUACAGCCAUGGUACUGAUGGAAGUGUGAAGCGUGUAAAACGGAGUGGACAGGGACAUGAUGUUAACUCCACAUGCUUACACUGACCUCUGCUGUUGUAAAGCGGUCCAUGCGGCUCCCCUCAGCGCGGGGUUUUCGUCGUCACGAGUGGAAGACCACAGCUGUGCUACACUUUGACCCGACAGAAACUUCAAACAUCAAACGUUUUGAAAAGGGAUCAAGCAAAGACAACUGAAAAAGAGAAACGGAGGACAAUUGGUCAAACUGCUCUUCAGUAUGUUGCUUGUCUGCUUCUUUAAAACGUUUCAUUUUAAUUCAUUUGGGUGAUGUAAGUUAACUAAGAAUAUCCGCUGAAGUAAUGAGGUUUACUUGAUUAUUUCCCUUUCCUGCUACUUAACAGAUUACAUCUACUCUGUAUGAAAUAUCACCCCACUUGUUAUGAUAUCAGUUAAUAAAAUAUGACAGAAUAUUACGGAUUGUAAUGCAGUAUUUAAACUGCUGAAAUGUGCCUAUCAAAAGUACUGAUCAUAGUACUGUAUGACAAUAUACCCGUUAAGUUCUUUUACUUGUGAUACUCGAAGUACAUUUCGCUCAUAAUACCUCAGUGCUUAAAUAUAAUUUUGAAUGCAAGACUUUUGCAUGUAUUGGAGUAUUUUGACAAUGUGGUAUUUGAAAACAAUCAUAAAUAAAAUUUCAUAAGUUUCUAUUGAAAAAAC